GACGAACGCUGGCGGCGUGCCUAAUACAUGCAAGUCGAGCGGAAGUUGGAGAGCUUGCUCUUCAACUUUAGCGGCGGACGGGUGAGUAACACGUGGGCAACCUGCCCUGCAGAUCGGGAUAACUCCGGGAAACCGGUGCUAAUACCGAAUAGUUUUCGCCACCUCCUGGUGGCGUACGGAAAGACGGUUUCGGCUGUCACUGCAGGAUGGGCCCGCGGCGCAUUAGCUAGUUGGUGGGGUAACGGCCCACCAAGGCGACGAUGCGUAGCCGACCUGAGAGGGUGAUCGGCCACACUGGGACUGAGACACGGCCCAGACUCCUACGGGAGGCAGCAGUAGGGAAUCUUCCGCAAUGGACGAAAGUCUGACGGAGCAACGCCGCGUGAGUGACGAAGGUUUUCGGAUCGUAAAACUCUGUUGUGAGGGAAGAACAAGUACCAACUAACUACUGGUACCUUGACGGUACCUCACCAGAAAGCCACGGCUAACUACGUGCCAGCCGCCGCCGUAA
rnacentral:rRNA from 1 species